rnacentral:rRNA from 1 species
GGACCUCUGUCUUUGUGCCUCUGGUACUUGGAUAGAACCACAUAAGCAGGUGAAACUUCUUAGAGGAACUGGCGCCCGAAAAGGCGCACGAGAAAGAGCAAUAACAGGUCUGUGAUGCCCUAAGAUGUCCGGGGCCGCACGCGUGCUACAAUGACGAUGCUACUGAGCAUGAUUAACUUGUCCGAAAGGAUUGGUGAAACUGUUCAAUCAUCGUCGUGACUGGGAUUGGGGUUUGCAAUUGUCCCCCAUGAACCAGGAAUUCCUAGUAAGCACAAGUCAUAAGCUUGUGCUGAUUACGUCCCUGCCCUUUGUACACACCGCCCGUCGCUACUACCGAUUGAAUGGUUUAGCAAGGACAUUGGAUUGAGCUCUUGCGGUUUCGACUGCUUGGGUUUGAGAAGAUGUCCGAACUUGAUCAUUUAGAGGAAGUAAAAGUCGUAACAAGGUUUCCGUAGGUGAACCUGCGGAAGGAUCAUUA